UAAACCGGAGGAAGGUGGGGAUGACGUCAAAUCAUCAUGCCCUUAUGGCCUGGCUACAAACGUAAUACAAUGGCGUAUACAAAGGGAUGCGAAAGGGCGACCUGGAGCAAAACUCACAAAGUACGUCUCAGUUCAGAUUGGAGUCUGCAACUCGACUCCAUGAAGGCGGAAUCGCUAGUAAUCGCGGAUCAGCAUGCCGCGGUGAAUACGUUCUCGGGGUUU
rnacentral:rRNA from 1 species